rnacentral:rRNA from 1 species
CAGCAGCCGCGGUAAUACGGAGGGGGCUAGCGUUGUUCGGAAUUACUGGGCGUAAAGCGCACGUAGGCGGCGUGGUAAGUUGGAGGUGAAAGCCCGGAGCUCAACUCCGGAAUUGCCUUUAAGACUGCCACGCUAGUAGGUGGGAGAGGUAAGUGGAAUUCCGAGUGUAGAGGUGAAAUUCGUAGAUAUUCGGAAGAACACCAGUGGCGAAGGCGGCUUACUGGCUCAUUCUAGACGCUGAGGUGCGAAAGCGUGGGGAGCAAACAGGAUUAGAUACCCCCGUAGUCCCUGUCUCUUAUAC